rnacentral:hammerhead_ribozyme from 1 species
AUCCAGCUGACGAGUUCCAAAUAAGAUGAAACUCGCAUCUUGGAU